rnacentral:rRNA from 1 species
AGGGAGCGAGCGUUGUCCGGAUUUACUGGGUGUAAAGGGGUGCGUAGGCGGGACUGCAAGUCAGACGUGAAAUACCGAGGCGUUAACCUCGGGGCUGCGUUUGAAACUGUAGUUCUUGAGUGAAGUAGAGGCAGGCGGAAUUCCUAGUGUAGCGGUGAAAUGCGUAGAUAUUAGGAGGAACACCAGUGGCGAAGGCGGCCUGCUGGGCUUUAACUGACGCUGAUGCACGAAAGCAUGGGGAGC